rnacentral:misc_RNA from 1 species
AAGUCAUAACAAGGUUUCCGUAGGUGAACCUGCAGAAGGAUCAUUAAUGAAUUACAGAGAGUUGAUGCUGGCAGUCUGUGACUGCAUGUGCUUGCUCUCCUAAUCCAAUUUACACCUGUGCACUUAACUUUGAAGGUAGGGUAAAGCCUGCCUUCGAAAUCUUUAAACUCUUGUUUAUAAUAAUGAAUGUUUAUCUGCCGCAAGGUGAAAUUAAAUACAACUUUUAACAACGGAUCUCUUGGCUCUC